rnacentral:rRNA from 1 species
GACGAACGCUGGCGGCGUGCCUAACACAUGCAAGUCGAGCGGUAAAGCCUUGGGCUUGUACCAAUUUGGAGAGCGGCGCACGGGUGAGUAACGCGUGGGGAAUCUCCCUUUGAGCGGGGGACAACAAUGGGAAACGAAUGCUAAUACCACAUAAUAACUUUAAACAUAAGUUGUAAGUGUGAAAGAUGCAAUUGCAUCACUCAAAGACGAUCCCGCGUUGUAUUAGCUAGUUGGUGAGGUAAAGGCUCACCAAGGCGAUGAUACAUAGCCGACCUGAGAGGGUGAUCGGCCACAUUGGGACUGAGACAGGGCCCAAACCCCCUCGGGGAGGAGCCGGAGGGGAUCUUCGGACAGGGGAGGAAGUCUGAGCGCGAAACGCCGCGGGAGUGAAGAAGGUCUUCGGGUCGGGAAACUCUGUUUGUAGGGAAGAAAGUUGGUGAGAGUGGAACGCUCAUCAAGUGACGGUAACUAAUCAGAAAGGGCCGGCUAACUACGUG